rnacentral:rRNA from 1 species
CGGGGGGGGCAAGCGUUGUUCGGAAUUACUGGGCGUAAAGGGCUCGUAGGCAGCCAACUAAGUCAGACGUGAAAUCCCCAGGCUCAACCUGGGAACUGCGUCUGAUACUGGAUGGCUCGAAUCCGGGAGAGGGAUGCAGAAUUCCAGGUGUAGCGGUGAAAUGCGUAGAUAUCUGGAGGAAUACCGGUGGCGAAGGCGGCAUCCUGGACCGGCAUUGACGCUGAGGAGCGAAAGCCAGGGGAGCAAACGGGAUUAGAUACCCCGGUAGUCCUGGCCCUAAACGAUGAAUGCUUGGUGUAACGGGUAUCGAUCCCUGUUGUGCCGAAGCUAACGCAUUAAGCAUUCCGCCUGGGGAGUACGGUCGCAAGGCUG